UGGGGUAUACCUCAGUGGUAGAGUGCAUGCUUAGCAUGCAUGAGGGCCUGGGUUCAAUCCCCAGUACCUCCA
rnacentral:tRNA from 1 species